rnacentral:rRNA from 1 species
GACGAACGCUGGCGGCGUGCUUAACACAUGCAAGUCGAGCGGUAAGGCCCUUUCGGGGGUACACGAGCGGCGAACGGGUGAGUAACACGUGGGUGACCUGCCCUUAGCUCUGGGAUAAGCCUGGGAAACUGGGUCUAAUACCGGAUAUGACUCCAUGACGCAUGUUGUGGGGUGGAAAGCCUUGUGCGGCUAGGGAUGGGCCCGCGGCCUAUCAGCUUGUUGGUGGGGUGAUGGCCACCAAGGCGACGACGGGUAGCCGGCCUGAGAGGGCGACCGGCCACACUGGGACUGAGAUACGGGUCAGACUCCUACGGGAGGCAGCAGUCGGGAAUUUUGGGCAAUGGGCGCAAGCCUGACCCAGCAACGCCGCGUGAAGGAUGAAAUUUUUCGGAAUGUAAACUUCGCAAGAACAGGAAGAAUAAGUGUGGGACAAUACCCCACAUGAUGACGGUACUGUUUGUAAGCUCCGGCUAACUCCGUGCCAGCAGCCGCAGU